GACGAACGCUGGCGGCGUGCUUAACACAUGCAAGUCGAACGGAAAGGCCCUGCUUUUGUGGGGUGCUCGAGUGGCGAACGGGUGAGUAACACGUGAGUAACCUGCCCUUGACUUUGGGAUAACUUCAGGAAACUGGGGCUAAUACCGGAUAGGAGCUCCUGCUGCAUGGUGGGGGUUGGAAAGUUUCGGCGGUUGGGGAUGGACUCGCGGCUUAUCAGCUUGUUGGUGGGGUAGUGGCUUACCAAGGCUUUGACGGGUAGCCGGCCUGAGAGGGUGACCGGCCACAUUGGGACUGAGAUGCGGCCCAGACUCCUCCGGGAGGCAGCGGUGGGAAAUAUUGCACAAUGGGCGGAAGCCUGAUGCAGCAACGCCGCGUGCGGGAUGACGGCCUUCGGGUUGUAAACCGCUUUCGCCUGUGACGAAGCGUGAGUGACGGUAAUGGGUAAAGAAGCACCGGCUAACUACGU
rnacentral:rRNA from 1 species